rnacentral:rRNA from 1 species
GACGAACGCUGGCGGCGUGCUUAAUACAUGCAAGUUGAGCGCUGAAGGUUGGUACUUGUACCGACUGGAUGAGCAGCGAACGGGUGAGUAACGCGUGGGGAAUCUGCCUUUGAGCGGGGGACAACAUUUGGAAACGAAUGCUAAUACCGCAUAAAAACUUUAAACACAAGUUUUAAGUUUGAAAGAUGCAAUUGCAUCACUCAAAGAUGAUCCCGCGUUGUAUUAGCUAGUUGGUGAGGUAAAGGCUCACCAAGGCGAUGAUACAUAGCCGACCUGAGAGGGUGAUCGGCCACAUUGGGACUGAGACACGGCCCAAACUCCUACAGGAGGCAGCAGUAGGGAAUCUUCGGCAAUGGACGAAAGUCUGACCGAGCAACGCCGCGUGAGUGAAGAAGGUUUUCGGAUCGUAAAACUCUGUUGGUAGAGAAGAACGUUGGUGAGAGUGGAAAGCUCAUCAAGUGACGGUAACUACCCAGAAAGGGACGGCUAACUACGUG